UAUNGGUCACUGGGCGCGAGCCUGAACCAGCNAAGUAGCGUGAAGGAUGACGGCCCUAUGGGUUGUAAACUCCUUUUAUAUGGGAAUAAAGUUUGGUAUGUAUACCAUUUUGUAUUUACCAUAUGAAUAAGGAUCGGCUAACCCCGUGCCAGCAGCCGCGGUAAUACGGAGGAUCCGAGCGUUAUCCGGAUUUAUUGGGUUUAAAGGGAGCGUAGGCGGGUUGUUAAGUCAGUUGUGAAAGUUUGCGGCUCAACCGUAAAAUUGCAGUUGAUACUGGCAUCCUUGAGUACAGUAGAGGUAGGCGGAAUUCGUGGUGUAGCGGUGAAAUGCUUAGAUAUCACGAAGAACUCCGAUUGCGAAGGCAGCCUGCUGGACUGUAACUGACACUGAGGCUCGAAAGUGUGGGUAUCAAAC
rnacentral:rRNA from 1 species